rnacentral:rRNA from 1 species
CAGUCGCUGCGGUAAUACAGAGGGUGCGAGCGUUAAUCGGAUUUACUGGGCGUAAAGCGUGCGUAGGCGGCUUCUUAAGUCGGAUGUGAAAUCCCUGAGCUUAACUUAGGAAUUGCAUUCGAUACUGGGAAGCUAGAGUAUGGGAGAGGAUGGUAGAAUUCCAGGUGUAGCGGUGAAAUGCGUAGAGAUCUGGAGGAAUACCGAUGGCGAAGGCAGCCAUCUGGCCUAAUACUGACGCUGAGGUACGAAAGCAUGGGGAGCAAACAGGAUUAGAUACCCCCGUAGUCCCUGUCUCUUAUAC